AAAUUGAAGAGUUUGAUCAUGGCUCAGAUUGAACGCUGGCGGCAGGCCUGACACAUGCAAGUCGAGCGGAAACGAGUUAUCUGAACCUUCGGGGAACGAUAACGGCGUCGAGCGGCGGACGGGUGAGUAAUGCCUAGGAAAUUGCCCUGAUGUGGGGGAUAACCAUUGGAAACGAUGGCUAAUACCGCAUGAUGCCUACGGGCCAAAGAGGGGGACCUUCGGGCCUCUCGCGUCAGGAUAUGCCUAGGUGGGAUUAGCUAGUUGGUGAGGUAAGGGCUCACCAAGGCGACGAUCCCUAGCUGGUCUGAGAGGAUGAUCAGCCACACUGGAACUGAGACACGGUCCAGACUCCUACGGGAGGCAGCAGUGGGGAAUAUUGCACAAUGGGCGCAAGCCUGAUGCAGCCAUGCCGCGUGUGUGAAGAAGGCCUUCGGGUUGUAAAGCACUUUCAGUCGUGAGGAAGGUAGUGUAGUUAAUAGCUGCAUUAUUUGACGUUAGCGACAGAAGAAGCACCGGCUAACUCCGUGCCAGCAGCCGCGGUAAUACGGAGGGUGCGAGCGUUAAUCGGAAUUACUGGGCGUAAAGCGCAUGCAGGUGGUUUGUUAAGUCAGAUGUGAAAGCCCGGGGCUCAACCUCGGAAUAGCAUUUGAAACUGGCAGACUAGAGUACUGUAGAGGGGGGUAGAAUUUCAGGUGUAGCGGUGAAAUGCGUAGAGAUCUGAAGGAAUACCGGUGGCGAAGGCGGCCCCCUGGACAGAUACUGACACUCAGAUGCGAAAGCGUGGGGAGCAAACAGGAUUAGAUACCCUGGUAGUCCACGCCGUAAACGAUGUCUACUUGGAGGUUGUGGCCUUGAGCCGUGGCUUUCGGAGCUAACGCGUUAAGUAGACCGCCUGGGGAGUACGGUCGCAAGAUUAAAACUCAAAUGAAUUGACGGGGGCCCGCACAAGCGGUGGAGCAUGUGGUUUAAUUCGAUGCAACGCGAAGAACCUUACCUACUCUUGACAUCCAGAGAACUUUCCAGAGAUGGAUUGGUGCCUUCGGGAACUCUGAGACAGGUGCUGCAUGGCUGUCGUCAGCUCGUGUUGUGAAAUGUUGGGUUAAGUCCCGCAACGAGCGCAACCCUUAUCCUUGUUUGCCAGCGAGUAAUGUCGGGAACUCCAGGGAGACUGCCGGUGAUAAACCGGAGGAAGGUGGGGACGACGUCAAGUCAUCAUGGCCCUUACGAGUAGGGCUACACACGUGCUACAAUGGCGCAUACAGAGGGCGGCCAACUUGCGAAAGUGAGCGAAUCCCAAAAAGUGCGUCGUAGUCCGGAUUGGAGUCUGCAACUCGACUCCAUGAAGUCGGAAUCGCUAGUAAUCGUGGAUCAGAAUGCCACGGUGAAUACGUUCCCGGGCCUUGUACACACCGCCCGUCACACCAUGGGAGUGGGCUGCAAAAGAAGUAGGUAGUUUAACCUUCGGGGGGACGCUUACCACUUUGUGGUUCAUGACUGGGGUGAAGUCGUAACAAGGUAGCGCUAGGGGAACCUGGCGCUGGAUCACCUCCUAUUACGAGGAU
rnacentral:rRNA from 1 species